rnacentral:piRNA from 1 species
AUGAGGCACCAAAGAAGGUCACUAUCCAGGG